rnacentral:rRNA from 1 species
ACGAACGCUGGCGGCGUGCCUAAUACAUGCAAGUAGAACGCUGAAGAGAGGAGCUUGCUCUUCUUGGAUGAGUUGCGAACGGGUGAGUAACGCGUAGGUAACCUGCCUUGUAGCUGGGGAUAACUAUUGGAAACGAUAGCUAAUACCGCAUAACAAUGGAUGACACAUGUCAUUUAUUUGAAAGGGGCAAUUGUUCCACUACAAGAUGGACCUGCGUUGUAUUAGCUAGUAGGUGAGGUAAUGGCUCACCUAGGCGACGAUACAUAGCCGACCUGAGAGGGUGAUCGGCCACACUGGGACUGAGACACGGCCCAGACUCCUACGGGAGGCAGCAGUAGGGAAUCUUCGGCAAUGGGGGCAACCCUGACCGAGCAACGCCGCGUGAGUGAAGAAGGUUUUCGGAUCGUAAAGCUCUGUUGUAAGUCAAGAACGGGUGUGAGAGUGGAAAGUUCACACUGUGACGGUAGCUUACCAGAAAGGGACGGCUAACUACGUGCCAGCAGCCGCGGUAAUACGUAGGUCCCGAGCGUUGUCCGGAUUUAUUGGGCGUAAAGCGAGCGCAGGCGGUUUGAUAAGUCUGAAGUUAAAGGCUGUGGCUCAACCAUAGUUCGCUUUGGAAACUGUCAAACUUGAGUGCAGAAGGGGAGAGUGGAAUUCCAUGUGUAGCGGUGAAAUGCGUAGAUAUAUGGAGGAACACCGGUGGCGAAAGCGGCUCUCUGGUCUGUAACUGACGCUGAGGCUCGAAAGCGUGGGGAGCGAACAGGAUUAGAUACCCUGGUAGUCCACGCCGUAAACGAUGAGUGCUAGGUGUUGGAUCCUUUCCGGGAUUCAGUGCCGCAGCUAACGCAUUAAGCACUCCGCCUGGGGAGUACGACCGCAAGGUUGAAACUCAAAGGAAUUGACGGGGGCCCGCACAAGCGGUGGAGCAUGUGGUUUAAUUCGAAGCAACGCGAAGAACCUUACCAGGUCUUGACAUCCCGAUGCUAUUUCUAGAGAUAGAAAGUUACUUCGGUACAUCGGUGACAGGUGGUGCAUGGUUGUCGUCAGCUCGUGUCGUGAGAUGUUGGGUUAAGUCCCGCAACGAGCGCAACCCCUAUUGUUAGUUGCCAUCAUUCAGUUGGGCACUCUAGCGAGACUGCCGGUAAUAAACCGGAGGAAGGUGGGGAUGACGUCAAAUCAUCAUGCCCCUUAUGACCUGGGCUACACACGUGCUACAAUGGUUGGUACAACGAGUUGCGAGUCGGUGACGGCGAGCUAAUCUCUUAAAGCCAAUCUCAGUUCGGAUUGUAGGCUGCAACUCGCCUACAUGAAGUCGGAAUCGCUAGUAAUCGCGGAUCAGCACGCCGCGGUGAAUACGUUCCCGGGCCUUGUACACACCGCCCGUCACACCACGAGAGUUUGUAACACCCGAAGUCGGUGAGGUAACCUUUUGGAGCCAGCCGCCUAAGGUGGGACAGAUGAUUGGGGUG